CAAAGGAUAGUUUAAUAAAAAUAUUAAUUUUGGAGAUUAAUGAUGAGAUGAAUCUUUCCUUUGA
rnacentral:tRNA from 1 species